GUUUGCCUGUGUUUGGAUGGUGUUCAGUACCAAGGGACAGGCGCGUUUACCUGUGUGUGGAUGGUGUUCAGCACCAAGGACAGGUCUGUUUGCUU
rnacentral:pre_miRNA from 1 species